GCACCUGAAUCUUUCCUAUUCCUUGCUCUGCAGUGCAGGGUUGGAGACAGUUGGUGCUACAGCACAGCAGUGGAAAAUCCAGAUGGGUUGUUUUCCACUGGUUUGGAACUCAUCUCUACACCUCUGCAACACUG
ensembl:snoRNA